CAGAGAGUAGUUUAAUUAAAAUAUUAAUUUUGGAGAUUAAAGUUAGAAUGUAUUCUUUCUCUGA
rnacentral:tRNA from 2 species